rnacentral:rRNA from 1 species
GAUACCCCUGUAGUCCUGGCCGUAAACGAUGAACACUAGGUGUCGGGGGAAUCGACCCCCUCGGUGUCGUAGCCAACGCGUUAAGUGUUCCGCCUGGGGAGUACGCACGCAAGUGUGAAACUCAAAGGAAUUGACGGGGGCCCGCACAAGCGGUGGAGUAUGUGGUUUAAUUCGGUGCAACGCGAAGAACCUUACCAGGGUUUGACAUCCUGCGAAUCCCUUGGAAACUUGGGAGUGCCUUCGGGAGCGCAGUGACAGGUGGUGCAUGGCUGUCGUCAGCUCGUGUCGUGAGAUGUUGGGUUAAGUCCCGCAACGAGCGCAACCCACGUCUUUAGUUGCCAGCAUUUAGUUGGGCACUCUAGAGAGACUGCCGGUGAUAAACCGGAGGAAGGUGUGGAUGACGUCAAGUCAUCAUGCCCCUUACAUCCUGGGCUACACACGUACUACAAUGCUACGGACAAAGGGCAGCAAACUCGCGAGAGCUAGCAAAUCCCAUAAACCGUGGCUCAGUUCAGAUCGUAGGCUGCAACUCGCCUACGUGAAGGAGGAAUCGCUAGUAAUCGCAGGUCAGCAUACUGCGGUGAAUACGUUCCCGGGCCUUGUACACACCGCCCGUCACACCAUGGAAGUUGGCCACGCCCGAAGUCGUUACUCCAACCCUUGUGGAGGAGGAUGCCGAAGGUGGGGCUGAUGACUGGGGUGAAGUCGUAACAAGGUAGCCGUACUGGAAGGUGC